rnacentral:lncRNA from 10 species
ACCUGCACAUUGUGCACAUGUACCCUAAAACUUAAAGUAUAAUAAUAAAAAAAAAAGAUUAAAAAAUUUCAGCAUUGUAUGGGUAUAUCACAACUUGUUUAUCCAUUCACCAGUUGUUGUAUAUUUAGGUUGCUUCCAGUUUCUGGCAAUGAUAAAUAAGGCUGCUAUGAAUAUUCAUGUACAAAUCAUUGUGUAGACAUGUUUUCCUUUCUCUUGGGAAGACACCUCAGAGUGGGAUUGCUGGAUUGUAUGAUAAGCGUAUGUUUAACUUUAUAAGAAGUUGAUAAUACUGAUAUGAGGCUCUCUGGAGGAGAAAAAGUAGAGUAUAAAUAUAAAUAGGGUAGAGAGGACCCACUCCCACUCCAAAAUAUAUUCAGUAAGCAUCAAAAAAAAAAGAUAAAAAGAUCUCAGCAUAGUAUGGAAUAGUACAACUUGUUUAUGCAUUCACCAGUUGUAUAUUUGGAUUUCUUCCAGUUUCUGGCAAUUACAAAUAAGGCUGCUAUGAACAUUCAUGUACAAAUCAUCACGUGGACAUGUUUUUCUUUCUCUUGGGAAGACAUCUUGAAGUGGGAUUGCUGGAUUGUAUGAUAAGCAUAGGUUUAACUUUAUAACAAGUUGCUGGCCAGGUGCAGUGGCUCACACCUAUCAUCCUGGCACUUUAGGAGGCCAAGGUGGGAGGAUCGCUUGAGCCCAGGAGUUUGAGACCACUCUGGGCAACAUGUGAGACCCCAUCUCCACAAAACAUUUGAAAAAUCAGCUGGUAAUGGUGGUGUGCACCUGUAGUCCCAGCUACUCAGGAGGCUGAGGUAGGAGGAUCACUUGAGCCCAGGAGAUUGAGGCUGCAGUGAGACGUGACUGAGCCACUGCACUCCAGCUUGGACAACAGAGGGAGAUCCUGUAUCAAAAAACUCCUCGCAAACGAAAAAACCUGCUGGUCCCAGAGCGCUCCCUGGAACAGAGAGCUAAUGCCUGCUUGAGACCAAGCAAUAGUCACAGAAUGAGAUCCUUCCUCUGAGAGCUGAUGGUGUCAUUAGGAUGCAUGACUCAAUUCAAGACACAUAGAGAGGUCUGGGUCCAGAUACAUGAACCAGGACCACUGGAAACAGGGUUACAGCUUCUUACUCCAGUUCCUAAACAGCAGCUCUUGAAACUUCUGACUUAGGCUGCUUAAAUCUGCAACAGAGGGUUCAGUAGGUCUCAGCAAAUGCAGCAUCCAGCUCAAAGAGCAUGCCACCCAGCCGGCGGCAGUGCAGUGAGCAGAAGGCAAGAGGAGAAAGACCCUGGUGCUGGUGCUGGUGGUGGUCAUCACCUAGACCCCUGCUCACGGCACCAACUCCACAGUCAUCCCCACAGAGGCAGAACAGGACCCUUCGGUGAGCGUGUGGCAUCAUCGGUCUUGACAUCCGAACCAAAUUUCGGAUGGGGAGAUCCAUCCCAUUUUUUGCAGAUGGCCACAGCAUCAACCUUCAAGGCCCAACUCCAAAGUCCCCUCCUCCAGAAAGCCUGACUGGGGUUUCUUGCCUCCUCAUUGCUCCUACGAUUUUAUCACUUAACUUCUUAGAAUGAAAACUUGGGCUUGCUCAUGGAAAAGCCAGACUGUAAAAUAUUUUAAAGAGGUUUAUUCUGAGCCAAUAGGAGUGGUCAUGGCCUGAGGAACACAAGCUCAAGAGGUCCUGAUACUUCCUUGCAUAUUUGGGUCAAUAUGUCAAUCUUAAGUCAAUAGUACAGACUGCAAAUGUCACCUCUCAAGCUGUUACAUGUUGAUUUACCUUGUCCAUUGUGUCUUUUGAUGAACAGAAAUCUUUAACUUUGAUGUAAUGAAAUUAAACAUUAUUUUGCCUUUAGA